UACGGGAGGUGCAAGCGUUGUUCGGAGUGACUGGGCGUAAAGCGCACGUAGGUGGGCUUGUAAGGCGGAUGUGAAAUCCCCGGGCUUAACCUGGGAACUGCAUCCGAAACUACAAGUCUUGAAUGCUUCAGAGGUUGGUAGAAUUCCAGGUGUAGGAGUGAAAUCCGUAGAUAUCUGGAGGAAUACCGGAGGCGAAGGCGGCCAACUGGGAAUGCAUUGACACUGAGGUGCGAAAGCGUGGGGAGCAAACAGG
rnacentral:rRNA from 1 species